rnacentral:rRNA from 1 species
CAGGAUUAGAUACCCUGGUAGUCCACGCCGUAAACGAUGUCGACUUGGAGGUUGUGCCCUUGAGGCGUGGCUUCCGGAGCUAACGCGUUAAGUCGACCGCCUGGGGAGUACGGCCGCAAGGUUAAAACUCAAAUGAAUUGACGGGGGCCCGCACAAGCGGUGGAGCACGUGGUUUAAUUCGAUGCAACGCGAAGAACCUUACCUGGUCUUGACAUCCACAGAACUUUCCAGAGAUGGAUUGGUGCCUUCGGGAACUGUGAGACAGGUGCUGCAUGGCUGUCGUCAGCUCGUGUUGUGAAAUGUUGGGUUAAGUCCCGCAACGAGCGCAACCCUUAUCCUUUGUUGCCAGCGGUCCGGCCGGGAACUCAAAGGAGACUGCCAGUGAUAAACUGGAGGAAGGUGGGGAUGACGUCAAGUCAUCAUGGCCCUUACGACCAGGGCUACACACGUGCUACAAUGGCGCAUACAAAGAGAAGCGACCUCGCGAGAGCAAGCGGACCUCAUAAAGUGCGUCGUAGUCCGGAUUGGAGUCUGCAACUCGACUCCAUGAAGUCGGAAUCGCUAGUAAUCGUGGAUCAGAAUGCCACGGUGAAUACGUUCCCGGGCCUUGUACACACCGCCCGUCACACCAUGGGGAGUGGGUUGCAAAAGAAGUAGGUAGCUUAACCUUCGGGAGGGCGCUUACCACUUUGUGAUUCAUGACUGGGGGUGAAGUCGUAACAAGGUAACCA